rnacentral:rRNA from 1 species
UGCAGUCGGACGGUAGCACAGAGRASCUUGCUCCUUGGGUGACGAGUGGCGGACGGGUGAGUAAUGUCUGGGGAUCUGCCCGAUAGAGGGGGAUAACCACUGGAAACGGUGGCUAAUACCGCAUAACGUCGCAAGACCAAAGAGGGGGACCUUCGGGCCUCUCACUAUCGGAUGAACCCAGAUGGGAUUAGCUAGUAGGCGGGGUAAUGGCCCACCUAGGCGACGAUCCCUAGCUGGUCUGAGAGGAUGACCAGCCACACUGGAACUGAGACACGGUCCAGACUCCUACGGGAGGCAGCAGUGGGGAAUAUUGCACAAUGGGCGCAAGCCUGAUGCACCCAUGCCGCGUGUAUGAAGAAGGCCUUCGGGUUGUAAAGUACUUUCAGCGGGGAGGAAGGCGACGGGGUUAAUAACCCUGUCGAUUGACGUUACCCGCAGAAGAAGCACCGGCUAACUCCGUGCCACGCCCCGGGG